rnacentral:rRNA from 1 species
UACGAAGGGGGCAAGCGUUGUUCGGAAUUACUGGGCGUAAAGGGCGCGUAGGCGGCUUAUCAAGUCAGGCGUGAAAUUCCCGGGCUCAACCUGGGGGCUGCGCUUGAUACUGAUGAGUCUGAAUGCGGGAGAGGAUAGUGGAAUUCCCAGUGUAGAGGUGAAAUUCGUAGAUAUUGGGAAGAACACCGGUGGCGAAGGCGGCAUCCUGGACCGGUAUUGACGCUGAUGCGCGAAAGCCAGGGGAGCAAACGGGG